UACUAUAUAUGCAAAAAAGACCUUUUUUGUGUUGCUCCACCAAAGAAAGAUAAAAGUACUAAUAAAGUAAAGUUUUUACUCCUCGCUCAGUUUUAAUUUAUGAAUGAUGCUUAGCUGAUCUUUUCGGAUGAUCAGCCACACUGAGACACGGCCCGGACUCCCACGGGGGGCAGCAGUAGGCAAUCUUGGACAUUGGGCGAAAGCGCGAUCCAG
rnacentral:ncRNA from 1 species